CAGAGGAGUAGGAAGUCUGAACGAAUUACAGGAGUGAUGUGUUUGGCCAGAAAAGCCUGAAUGAGCUCUCUGCAUGCCCAAUUCCUCCAUCAAAAGUCCCCACUUCAAGUAAUUCCAUCAUGUUAAAAUCCAUACGUGUGCACUCUUUGGCUUGGUGAUUGCAACUGGCAUAUACUGCAGAUAUAAUGCCAAAUGAU